rnacentral:rRNA from 1 species
UUUAGACUUAAACAGUGAAAACUUAAGUAGUAUUAGUUAUAGUCUUGAAACUUAAAGAAUUUGGCGGUAUUUUAGUCUAUUUAGAGGAAUCUGUUCCAUUAUCGAUAAUCCACGUUGGACCUUACUUAAUGAAAUUAAUUUGUAUACCGCCGUUUAUUGAAAAUCUUAUUAGAGAUAAUUUUCUUAAUUUAUCUUUUAAAAUAUUUCAGGUCAAGGUGCAGUUUAUAAUUAAGUGGAAAUGGAUUACAAUAUAUUUUUAAACGGAUUAUAUUAUGAAAAAUUUAUAUGAAGGUGGAUUUAAUAGUAAUAUUAUGAAGAUUAUUAAGGUGAUUUAAGCUCUAAAAUGUGC